UUUUUUUGGUUCUUAUUGUAUAAAAUGCUUGUUAUCCAUCGAUCCAUCCAUCAAAAAUGAUAGUCAUUUUCAGGUAUUUUUCUUGGGUAAAAACCAUAAAAAACAACGACUAUAAUGAUUUCGUUGACGGAUUCUCUUGAUAUUCUUUACUCAUCAUUUUCAAAAACGGUGCCACCAUAUGACCGUUAUCAUUAAGAUUGGCAAUUAUUGCUCGCUAUUUUUUUCAUUUGAUGAUGAUGAUGAUGGAGAAUUUCACUCUCACCAAAUAAUAAUACUGACUAUGGUAAAAAACAAUGCAAACCAAAAUCAGAAUUCAAAUCGAAAUCGAAUCGACCAACGAAACGAAAUGAAAAAAAAAUAAGCUCUUGCUUUCAUCAUUUGCAAUGGGUUGGGAUACCUGAACUGGUGGGCGGUUGUUUCCCAUCCAUAUACACACACCGUAUCAUUGAUGAUGAUGAUGAUGACGAUGAUGCGAUGCAAUAGUUAGCAUUCUAUUUUUUUGGGUUAUAUUUCGAUAGUCGCAUCGUCGCUGAUGUUAACUAUCGUUGAAUUAUUAUUGUUCUUGGUUAGAAUAUUGUGGUUGGUGUGUGUGUGUGUGUGUGUGCGCCAACCUAGCCGAAAUGUCGAAUCUAACCAGAUGCAGAAACAACGGCGCGCGCCAAACACAUCACAAUCAUAUAAUAUACAUUCAGCCAUCCAUCCUAUCCAAAAAAAAAGGUAAAAAGCAAAUGUUGGAACCCGAGGAGGCCAAUAAAACCAAAAAAAAAAAAAAAAAAAACGAA